GAUGAACGCUGGCGGCGUGCCUAAUACAUGCAAGUCGAGCGACCAGACGAGGAGCUUGCGCCUCUGCCGUUAGCGGGUGACGGGCGAGUAACACGUAGAUAACCUUCCUCUAAGACGGGGAUGAUUUCGGGGAGCCGGAGCUAAUACUGGAGAAUAUGUCGAACGGCAGGGAUCAAUAGUGAAUGGCGGUUUGCGCGACUGUAUGAGCUGGUGCCGGGCCGCAUUAGCUGGUUGGUAAGGGAACGGCCUACCAAGGCAACGAUGCGUAGCCGACCUGAGAGGGUGAUCGGCCACACUGGAACUGAGACACGGUCCAGACUCCUACGGGAGGCAGCAGUGGGGAAUAUUCCGCAAUGGGCGAAAGCCUGACCGAGCAACGCCGCGUGAGUGAUGAAGGUCUUCGGAUCGUAAAGCUCUUUUAUUAGGAAAGAACAAAAGUGUAAUAAACUCUGGACGUCUUGACGGUACCCAAUGAGUAAGCACCGGCUAACUUCGUG
rnacentral:rRNA from 1 species